rnacentral:rRNA from 1 species
UACGGAGGGGGCUAGCGUUGUUCGGAAUUACUGGGCGUAAAGCGCACGUAGGCGGCUUUACAAGUCAGGGGUGAAAGCCCGCGGCUCAACCGCGGAAUUGCCCUUGAGACUGUAUCGCUUGAACACGGGAGAGGUGAGUGGAAUUCCGAGUGUAGAGGUGAAAUUCGUAGAUAUUCGGAAGAACACCAGUGGCGAAGGCGGCUCACUGGACCGUAGUCGACGCUGAGGUGCGAAAGCGUGGGGAGCAAACAGG